rnacentral:rRNA from 1 species
AACGAACGCUGGCGGCAUGCCUAACACAUGCAAGUCGAACGAGAUCCUUCGGGGUCUAGUGGCGCACGGGUGCGUAACGCGUGGGAAUCUGCCCUUAGGUUCGGAAUAACAGUUAGAAAUGACUGCUAAUACCGGAUGAUGACGUUAAGUCCAAGAUUUAUCGCCUGAGGAUGAGCCCGCGUAGGAUUAGCUAGUUGGUGUGGUAAAGGCGCACCAAGGCGACGAUCCUUAGCUGGUCUGAGAGGAUGAUCAGCCACACUGGGACUGAGACACGGCCCAGACUCCUACGGGAGGCAGCAGUGGGGAAUAUUGGACAAUGGGCGCAAGCCUGAUCCAGCAAUGCCGCGUGAGUGAUGAAGGCCUUAGGGUUGUAAAGCUCUUUUACCCGGGAUGAUAAUGACAGUACCGGGAGAAUAAGCCCCGGCUAACUCCGUG